rnacentral:lncRNA from 1 species
CUAGACUUAAUGUAUUUGGUGGAUUAUUGAUAAUCUAUCCAACUCUUAUCAAAUGUUGUUAUCUUUUGUCAACUACUUGAUAUGGUUUUCAAAAGAAGACUGAGUAUGCUAAACAAAUGUUUUUUCGUCAAACGACAGGCACGUGAGGUUGCCACAACUUAAACGUACAUACGUUUAAUGAAUGUAGUGUUGAUCAACAUAGAGUAUUAUAGGUUGAUCACUUAAAAGUGCUCGUAAGUAAUACCAGACUUACGGACUUAGUGUCGGGUUGUCCUUUUCAAAGAAGAAUGAAAUGCUCAAGGUCUUGGACCGGAAUUGAUGUUUUACUGAAUACUAUUAUUGUAAAACAUUUUUAAAGAAAGAUGAAGUGCUAUUUUGAAUUAUCAAUAGUACUUCAUAACUAUUGUUCAGUUAUUGAAGAUAUACGAUUCUGAUGUGUCAAGUAUGUUGUUAUUGAAAUUAUUAUACUUGUUGAGCUAGUUAUGCUCACUCUUGCUUGAACCAUAUGAAUACAGCUAAGACUGAACGUCCUGAAGGAUCGAAUAAGGAUAAAGGAAAGGCUAAGGCAGAUCGUUAAGUUGUCUAUGUAAUAGUAUAGGUUUAUUGUUGUAAUGUAAUUGAUAUUAUGACAAAGAACAUUUGUAAU